rnacentral:rRNA from 1 species
CCUACGGGGGGCAGCAGUAGGGAAUUUUGCGCAAUGGGCGAAAGCCUGACGCAGCAACGCCGCGUGAUCGAGACGCCCUUCGGGGUGUAAAGAUCUGUCAGUGGGGACGAAACUUGACGGUACCCACAGAGGAAGCACCGGCUAACUCCGUGCCAGCAGCCGCGGUAAUACGGGGGGUGCAGGCGUUGUCCGGAAUCAUUGGGCGUAAAGAGGUCGUAGGGGGGACGUUAAGUCUGGUGUGAAAGGCAGAGGCUCAACUUCUGUACGGCAUGGGAUACUUGCGAGCUAGAAUGCAGUAGAGGUAAGGGGAAUGCCUGGUGUAGCGGUGAAAUGCUUAGAUAUCAGGAAGAACAUCGGUGGCGUAGGCGCUUUACUGGGCCGUAAUUGACGCUGAGGAACGAAAGCCAGGGUAGCAAAUGGGAUUAGAUACCCGGGUAGUC